UGGCUCAGGAUGAACGCUAGCGGCAGGCUUAACACAUGCAAGUCGAGGGGCAACGCGAGUAGCAAUACUUGGCGGCGACCGGCGCAAGGGUGCGUAACGCGUGAGCAACAUGCCCGUAUCAGGGGGAUAAUCCAGGGAAACUUGGUCUAAUACCCCAUAGUAAUUUUGUAAGGCAUCUUAUAAGAUUUAAAGCUUUGGUGGAUACGGAUUGGCUCGCGUGACAUUAGCUGGAUGGUAAGGUAACGGCUUACCAUGGCUAUGAUGUCUAGGGGUUCUGAGAGGAAGGUCCCCCACACUGGAACUGAGACACGGUCCAGACUCCUACGGGAGGCAGCAGUGAGGAAUAUUGGACAAUGGAUGGAAAUCUGAUCCAGCCAUGCCGCGUGAAGGAAGAAGGUCCUAUGGAUUGUAAACUUCUUUUGUAUGGGAGCAAUAAGGCCUACGAGUAGGUUGAUGAGAGUACCAUACGAAUAAGCACCGGCUAACUCCGUGCCAGCCGCCGC
rnacentral:rRNA from 1 species